GCCAGCAGCCAUAUCACCCAGCAAUUCACAACUGGUAAUCCACUGAGGUGUGAGCCUGGCCAGUACCUGGAUGGAAGACCUCCUGGGAAAACCUAAGCUUGCUGCUGGAA
rnacentral:rRNA from 1 species